rnacentral:rRNA from 1 species
GAUGAACGCUGGCGGCGCGCCUAAUACAUGCAAGUCGAGCGAACAGACGAGGAGCUUGCUCCUCUGACGUUAGCGGCGGACGGGUGAGUAACACGUGGAUAACCUACCUAUAAGACUGGGAUAACUUCGGGAAACCGGAGCUAAUACCGGAUAAUAUAUUGAACCGCAUGGUUCAAUAGUGAAAGACGGUUUUGCUGUCACUUAUAGAUGGAUCCGCGCCGCAUUAGCUAGUUGGUAAGGUAACGGCUUACCAAGGCAACGAUGCGUAGCCGACCUGAGAGGGUGAUCGGCCACACUGGAACUGAGACACGGUCCAGACUCCAACGGGAGGCAGCAGUAGGGAAUCUUACGCAAUGGGCGAAAGCCUGACGGAGCAACGCCGCGUGAGUGAUGAAGGUCUUAGGAUCGUAAAACUCUGUUAUUAGGGAAGAAAAAAUGUGUAAGUAACUAUGCACGUCUUGACGGUACCUAAUCAGAAAGCCACGGCUAACUACGUG